rnacentral:rRNA from 1 species
AUACGGAGGAUCCGAGCGUUAUCCGGAUUUAUUGGGUUUAAAGGGAGCGUAGGUGGAUUGUUAAGUCAGUUGUGAAAGUUUGCGGCUCAACCUUAAAAUUGCAGUUGAUACUGGUUUCCUUGAGUACGGUAUAGGUGGGCGGAAUUCGUGGUGUAGCGGUGAAAUGCUUAGAUAUCACGAAGAACUCCGAUCGCGAAGGCAGCUCACCGGGCCGGAACUGACACUGAUGCUCGAAAGUGCGGGUAUCAAACAGGAUUAGAUACCCUGGUAGUCCGCACAGUAAACGAUGAAUACUCGCUGUUUGCGAUACACUGUAAGCGGCCAAGCGAAAGCGUUAAGUAUUCCACCUGGGGAGUACGCCGGCAACGGUGAAACUCAAAGGAAUUGACGGGG